rnacentral:tRNA from 1 species
GAGGGUAUAGCUCAAGUGGUAGAGUGCAUGCUUAGCAUGUGUGAGGUCCUGGGUUCAAUCCCCAGUACCUCUU